AACGAACGCUGGCGGCAGGCCUAACACAUGCAAGUCGAACGCCCUGGCAACAGGGAGUGGCAGACGGGUGCGUAACGCGUGGGAACAUGCCCUUUGGUUCGGAAUAACUCAGGGACACUUGAGCUAAUACCGGAUAAGCCCGAGAGGGGAAAGAUUUAUCGCCGAAGGAUUGGCCCGCGUCUGAUAAGCUAGUUGGUGAGGUAAUGGCUCACCAAGGCGACGAUCAGUAGCUGGUCUGAGAGGAUGAUCAGCCACACUGGGACUGAGACACGGCCCAGACUCCUACGGGAGGCAGCAGUGGGGAAUAUUGGACAAUGGGCGCAAGCCUGAUCCAGCCAUGCCGCGUGAGUGAUGAAGGCCUUAGGGUUGUAAAGCUCUUUUACCCGGGAAGAUAAUGACGGUACCGGGAGAAUAAGCCCCGGCUAACUUCGUGCCAGCCGCCGCCGUAA
rnacentral:rRNA from 1 species